CUAUGCUAAUGAAAUUUAAUCUUUAUUUUUGUUGGGGCAUGAAGUUUUUUUGUUGGUUUUAUGAAUUUUAGGUAAAAUUAAAAUUUAUAUUUAGAGGUUUUUAUGUCAUUAAGAUUUUUGAAGGCGAAUUAGAUUAGUACCUAAUUAGUGAAAAAUUAAAUGUUCAGGAGUAAAGUGGUAUUUAAACUGAAAGAAUAUUGGCAGAUUUUCUAAAUUAUCUUUGGAGGUUGAGUGAUAAUUGAGAACCCUCAUUAACUACUUGGUUUUUUGGCUUAUGUAUGAUCGUUUAUUUUAAGCUUAAGGUUUAGGAUUUUAGGUUUUGACUGUAAAAAUAGAUAUAUAUUUAGUUUAUGAUUAAGUUAAUUUGACCUACAAUAUUUUGAAUUGUGUGGAUUAUUAAAUUAGUAUUAGUAUGAAAUUGUAAAAGACAGUAAGAAAGUUUUUAUAUCUUUUUGAAGAGUAUUUAGAAAUGGCA
rnacentral:rRNA from 1 species